rnacentral:rRNA from 1 species
CCUACGGGCGGCAGCAGUGAGGAAUAUUGGUCAAUGGACGAGAGUCUGAACCAGCCAAGUAGCGUGAAGGAUGACUGCCCUAUGGGUUGUAAACUUCUUUUAUAUGGGAAUAAAACGUUCCACGUGUGGGAUUUUGUAUGUACCAUAUGAAUAAGGAUCGGCUAACUCCGUGCCAGCAGCCGCGGUAAUACGGAGGAUCCGAGCGUUAUCCGGAUUUAUUGGGUUUAAAGGGAGCGUAGGUUGAUUGUUAAGUCAGUUGUGAAAGUUUGCGGCUCAACCGUAACAUUGCAGUUGAUACUGGCAGUCUUGAGUACAGUAGAGGUGGGCGGAAUGCGUGGUGUAGCGGUGAAAUGCUUAGAUAUCACGAAGAACUCCGAUUGCGAAGGCAGUUCACUUGACUGCAACUGACACUGAGGCUCGAAAGUGUGGGUAUCAAACAGGAUUAGAUACCCCAGUAGUC